rnacentral:misc_RNA from 1 species
CCCGGCCGCUCGUCGACGUGCACCUUCAAGGAGGCCGGCUUUCCGAGGAGAUCGAGAACCUUGCCGGCGAUGUCGGAGACCGUGAUGUCGACCCCGGUCGCGAUGUUGAUCACCUCACCGACCACCUUGUCGUCGUCGGCGGCGAUGAUCGCCUCGACCGCCUCGGCGUCGUCGUCUACGUACAACCAGUCGCGGCUCGCGUGCCCGUCUCCGUGAAUGGUGAGCGGCUCCCCGAGAGCGCCUGGGUGAUGAAGCGCGGGAUCACCUUCUCGGGAUGCUGCCGGGGGCCGAAGUUGUUGAACGGCCGGACGAUCACGAUCGGGAGGCCGUACGUGACGAAAUACGAGUACGCGAGGCGAUCCGCGCCCGCCUUCGUCGCCGCAUAGGGACUACGCGGGUUCAGCGGAUGCUCCUCGUCCAUCGGCGCGUACAGCGCCGUGCCGUAGACCUCGCUCGACGAGAAGAGGAUGAAGCGCUCGACAGGGGUUUCGCGAAUCGCGUCGAGGAGGAUCUGCGUGCCCUCGACGUUCGUCGUCACGAACUCUGACGCGCCUGCCUCGAUCGACUUCUCGACGUGAGACUCCGCGGCCGCGUUCACGAUCACGUCGACCUCGGCCACGACUUCCCGGACGAGGUCGGGGUCGCGGAUGUCGCCGUGCACGAAGGAGUGCCGUUCGUGGCCGGUCGCGUCGGUGAGGUUGUCCAUGCUCCCCGCGUAGGUGAGCGCGUCCAGGGAAACGACCUCGUACGGGGUCGUCUCGAGGAUGUGGCGCACGAAGUUCGACGGGAUGAAUCCCGCGCCGCCCGUGACGAGAACCCGCUUCGCCUUCACGGCUCGGAAGCCUACCCGCGCAGACUAGUCUCUCCGGCCGUGACGAAGUUCGUCAUCCUCUCCACGCAGCGCAGCGGCUCGACCUGGGUCGUCGACAUGCUGAACAGUCACCCGCGCGUGCUUGCUCAGUCCGAGCUCUUCAUGCACGGGGGCGAAGGGCACCCGAAAUGGGGCGGGGAUCGCGACCUUCUCUACUGGCAGACGUUCAUCGCCGACAAGGGCGGCGGCCGUCUCGUGCGACCGUACUGGCUCUGGCACUACCUCGGCCGCGCAUUCGCGGCGCGUCCAGGGGUCGACGCAGUCGGGUUCAAGCUGAUGUACAGCCAGCUGACCCGGAUCAGCAAGCCGCUCAUGCCGGCCCUGUGGCUGAAACGCGCGCGAAUCAUCCACCUGAUGCGGCGGAACGCCUUGGACGUCGUUCUCUCCAAGGAGGCAGGCGAGGCCAGGCAAGGUGUCUUGCACGCCCGUGACGGCCAAGAGGUCGAGGCCGUGCGCCUCCGGCUCGACACGGACACGCUCGUGCGGCGGCUGACGCUGCACGAGCGCGCGAUCGCCGGUGCUCGGGUUCGCUUCAAGCGGGUCGGGGUGCCGUACCGCGAGGUCGUCUACGAGGACCUCGUGGAGAGCGAGCAGGCGGGCUUCGACGAGCUCUUCCGCUUCCUCGGAGUCGAGCCACAGCGAGUCUCGUCGUCACUGCAAAAGGUCAACCCGACGGCCCACGAAGAGCUGAUCGAGAACUACGGCGAGGUCCGCGACGCCCUCGAGGGCACGCCCUUCGCCGGCCAGCUCCGCUAACACUUUCCUAAUGGGGCCUGGCCCCGUAAACCUUUACAGGGCCUGGCCCUGUUCGGGGAGCUCGCGGUCGAUGGAGUAGAGCGGGCGGCCCUCGACCUCGCGCUGGAUGCGGCCGAGAUACUCGCCGACGAGCGCCAGGAUGAAGCCCUGCAUGCCCAGGACGAAGAUCACGCCCACUCCUCCGAAGAGCGGGCCGGGGAAGUUCGAGCGGUCGAUCCAGUAGAAGACGCCGUACGCACCAAGCACGAGCGCGGCGGUCGUGCACAGCACGCCGAGCGCGACGCCGAUCCACUGGAUCGGCUGCGGCCAGAAGCCCGCGAGGACGUGGAGCGCGAGCCGCGUCAGGCGAAGCGGCGAGUAGCGCGAGCUACCGGCGCGAGGCGAGUGCUCUACUGGAACCUCGACGACGCUCGCUCCUCCCGAGAGCACGAGCGCCUUCGUGAACUUCUGCCGGCCGAUCGAGCCCAGCAUCGGCUCGAUCGCGCUUCGCCGGUACGCGUUGAACGCACAGCCGAAGUCGGCGAUCUUGACACCCGUGAAGCGCCGGAGCAUGCCGUUGAUGACGCGGGAC